rnacentral:rRNA from 1 species
GACGAACGCUGGCGGCGUGCCUAAUACAUGCAAGUCGAACGCAGUGGGGACGGGUGAGUAACACGUGGGUAACCUCCCAUCACAGGGGAUAACACUUGGAAACAGGUGCUAAACCGAUACUGAUGGAUGGACCCGUGGGGCAUUAGCUAGUGGGUGGGGUAACGGCUCACCAAGGCCACGAUGCAUAGCCGGCCGGAGAGGGUGAGCGGCCACACUGGAACUGAGACACGGCCCAGACUCCUACGGGAGGCAGCAGUAGGGAAUAUUCGGCAAUGGACGAAAGUCUGACCGAGCAAUGCCGCGUGAGUGAAGAAGGUUUUCGGAUCGUAAAGCUCUGUUGUUAGAGAAGCGUUAUCUAACCAGGAAGCCACGGCUAACUACGUGCCAGCAGCCGCGGUAAUUC